rnacentral:rRNA from 1 species
GCAGUAGCCGCGGUAAUACGAAGGGGGCUAGCGUUGCUCGGAAUGACUGGGCGUAAAGGGCGCGUAGGCGGUUUAUACAGUCAGAUGUGAAAUUCCUGGGCUCAACCUGGGGACUGCAUUUGAUACGUAUGGACUUGAGUGGAGAAGAGGGUUGUGGAAUUUCCAGUGUAGAGGUGAAAUUCGUAGAUAUUGAAAGGAACACCGGUGGCGAAGGCGGCAACCUGGUCUUUAACUGACGCUGAGGCGCGAAAGCGUGGGGAGCAAACAGGAUUAGAUACCCCAGUAGUCCCUGUCUCUUAUAC